GACAGAGGGUGCAAGCGUUGUUCGGAAUUAUUGGGCGUAAAGGGCGCGUAGGCGGCCUUGUAAGUCAGAUGUGAAAUCCCUGGGCUUAACCCAGGAAGUGCAUCUGAUACUGCUUGGCUUGAGUGCCGGAGAGGGUGGUGGAAUUCCCAGUGUAGAGGUGAAAUUCGUAGAUAUUGGGAGGAACACCGGUGGCGAAGGCGACCACCUGGACGGACACUGACGCUGAGGCGCGAAAGCGUGGGGAGCAAACAGG
rnacentral:rRNA from 1 species